AUUGAACGCUGGCGGCAUGCCUUACACAUGCAAGUCGAACGGUAACAGGUCUUCGGAUGCUGACGAGUGGCGAACGGGUGAGUAAUACAUCGGAACGCGCCCGAUCGUGGGGGAUAACGAGGCGAAAGCUUUGCUAAUACCGCAUACGAUCUACGGAUGAAAGCGGGGGAUCUUCGGACCUCGCGCGGACGGAGCGGCCGAUGGCAGAUUAGGUAGUUGGUGGGAUAAAAGCUUACCAAGCCGACGAUCUGUAGCUGGUCUGAGAGGAUGAUCAGCCACACUGGGACUGAGACACGGCCCAGACUCCUACGGGAGGCAGCAGUGGGGAAUUUUGGACAAUGGGCGAAAGCCUGAUCCAGCCAUGCCGCGUGCAGGAUGAAGGCCUUCGGGUUGUAAACUGCUUUUGUACGGAACGAAAAGCCUCUUUCUAAUAAAGAGGGGUCAUGACGGUACCGUAAGAAUAAGCACCGGCUAACUACGUG
rnacentral:rRNA from 1 species